rnacentral:lncRNA from 1 species
AUUCACUCUCUAGUGUAAAAAAAAACUGUUGGUAGUCCAUUAUGUAUUAUUGACAUUGGAAUGAUUGAUUUCUGAGUUUGAAUAGGGCCUUUCUCGGGUUAGAGUCACUAUAUUUGCAGUGAUUGUGGUGUUGAUGCACUGAAGCUCAUGUGAAAGAAACAUGUUGCCUAGGGCUGGAUUGGUUUGAACUCGAAGUAUUCCCUCCCUAACGUAUGGAAUGGACUGGUUAAGAAUCAACUUCUCUCUCCCUUGAUCGCUCUAUAUGUUUAGGUUAAAUUUUCAUUUCCUACCCUCUAUUUUCUUAUACCUUUUCCAGUGUAAAUUCUUGCAUAAUAAUCUUCCAGUGGAAGAAUAUAUAUAUAUAUAUAUAUAUAUAUAUAUAUAUAUAUAUAUAUAUAUAUAUAUAUAUAUAUUUUCCGGGAGAAAUGCCUGGCUUGCCCGUGGAGAUUGUAGCUUUGAGUCUGGUUGUCAGGGAGAAAGAGCUCACUUUUUUGGAUGGGUUAACCUGACCGAUCUAUUUUGUACUUAAUCGGACAGGUUUGGAUAAUUAUUUUCAAUAUUCAAGUUAGGUUUGAGUUAACUUUUUUUAACUCGAACAUAAUUUGGAUUGGGUGGAAG